GCUGUGGCUCAGUGGUAGAACAUCUGCUUUGCAUGCAGAAGGUCCAAUGAUCAAUCCCUGGCAUCUCUG
rnacentral:tRNA from 1 species